GAUUAACGCUGGCGGCGUGCAUAACACAUGCAAGUCGAACGAUGAAACUUUAAUGAACCCUUCGGGGAGAAUUAAAGCGGAUUAGUGGCGAACGGGUGAGUAACGCGUGAGUAACCUGCCUUACACAAGGGGAUAGCCUUUGGAAACGAAGAAUAAUACCCUAUAAAACCAUAAAAGCACAUGCAAUUAUGGUCAAAGUGAUAGCGGUGUAAGAUGGACUUGCGUCUGAUUAGCUAGUUGGUGAGAUAAAAGCCCACCAAGGCAACGAUCAGUAGCCGGCUUGAGAGAGUGUACGGCCACAUUGGGACUGAGACACGGCCCAGACUCCUACGGGAGGCAGCAGUGGGGAAUUGUGCACAAUGGGGGAAACCCUGAUGCAGCGACGCCGCGUGAUUUAGAAGGCCUUCGGGUUGUAAAAAUCUUUUGUAUAGGAAGAAAAUGACAGUACUAUACGAAUAAGGUCCGGCUAAUUACGU
rnacentral:rRNA from 1 species